CCUACGGGUGGCAGCAGUGAGGAAUAUUGGUCAAUGUACGAGAGUCUGAACCAGCCAAGUAGCGUGAAGGAUGACUGCCCUAUGGGUUGUAAACUUCUUUUAUAUGGGAAUAAAGUGUUCCACGUGUGGGCUUUUGUAUGUACCAUAUGAAUAAGGAUCGGCUAACUCCGUGCCAGCAGCCGCGGUAAUACGGAGGAUCCGAGCGUUAUCCGGAUUUAUUGGGUUUAAAGGGAGCGUAGGUGGAUUGUUAAGUCAGUUGUGAAAGUUUGCGGCUCAACCGUAAAAUUGCAGUUGAAACUGGCAGUCUUGAGUACGGGAGAGGUGGGCGGAAUUCGUGGUGUAGCGGUGAAAUGCUUAGAUAUCACGAAGAACUCCGAUUGCGAAGGCAGCUCACUGGACUGCAACUGACACUGAGGCUCGAAAGUGUGGGUAUCAAACAGGAUUAGAUACCCGUGUAGUC
rnacentral:rRNA from 1 species